AACGAACGCUGGCGGCAUGUCUAACACAUGCAAGUCGAACGAGACCUUCGGGUCUAGUGGCGCACGGGUGCGUAACGCGUGGGAACCUGCCCUUAGGUUCGGAAUAACUCCCCGAAAGGGGUGCUAAUACCGGAUAAUGUCUUCGGACCAAAGAUUUAUCGCCUUUGGAUGGGCCCGCGUUGGAUUAGCUAGUUGGUAGGGUAAAAGCCUACCAAGGCGACGAUCCAUAGCUGGUCUGAGAGGAUGAUCAGCCACACUGGGACUGAGACACGGCCCAGACUCCUACGGGAGGCAGCAGUGGGGAAUAUUGGAAAAUGGGCGAAAGCCUGAUCCAGCAAUGCCGCGUGAGUGAUGAAGGCCUUAGGGUUGUAAAGCUCUUUUACCCGGGAUGAUAAUGACAGUACCGGGAGAAUAAGCUCCGGCUAACUCCGUG
rnacentral:rRNA from 1 species